UACAGAGGUCUCAAGCGUUGUUCGGAUUCAUUGGGCGUAAAGGGUGCGUAGGCGGCGCGGUAAGUCGGGUGUGAAAUCUUGGAGCUUAACUCCGAAACUGCAUUCGAUACUGCCGUGCUUGAGGACCGGAGAGGAGACUGGAAUUUACGGUGUAGCGGUGAAAUGCGUAGAUAUCGUAAGGAAGACCAGUGGCGAAGGCGGGUCUCUGGACAGUUCCUGACGCUGAGGCACGAAGGCCAGGGGAGCAAACGGG
rnacentral:rRNA from 1 species